rnacentral:lncRNA from 1 species
GCACUUUGGGAGGCUGAGGCAGGCAGAAGACAAGUUCAAGAGUUCGAGACCAGCCUGGCCAACAUGGUGAAACCCCAUCUCUACUAAGAACACAAAAAUUAGCCGGGCGUCGUGGUGUGUGCCUGUAAUCCCAGCUACUCAGGAGGCUGAGGCAGGAGAAUCGCUUGAACCCGGUAGGCAGAGGUUGCAGUGAGCUGAGAUCGUGCCACUGCACUCCAGCCUGGGUGACAGAGCAAGACUUCAUCUAGAGAAAAACAACAACAACAACAAGAAAAAACUUGAUCUUGAUAAUUAGCAAGUGUUGAUUAGCCUUGCCAAGACUGCAAAUUCCCCAACAGACACAGCUCAUGGAGAAGGCUUUAAAGUUAUGCACCAUUAAUUCAGAAUUCAUGUAUCAAUGGAAUUUUCCAACGAUGAAGACCUGCUGGGUUUUCAGUUUGGAACCAUCAUUUAAGGAAACAGACUGUCUCUGUCGUUUAGAAGACUAAAAUCUAAAUGCAAAAAUAAGA